AGAAUGUGUUUGCUUCCCCUUCUGCCAUGAUUGUAAGUUUCCUGAGGCCUCUCAAGCCCUGCAGAACUGACUUUUCUCUGUGGAGUUGGAAAGUUCACCUUCAAGUUCAGAAAGAUAGUAUGUUGCAGUUUGGGUUCCUUGGGAGAAGAAGGAGAAGGAGAGGGAGAAGAAGCAGCAGCUGCAGCAAGGUCAUCUGGCCCCCCGCCCAGCAUUCCACCUUCCAUGGCACACCACCUCUCUAAGCCUGCAGCAUCCACAUCAGUCAUUUGCAGGAGGACAAAGGACAGACUGGUCAGUCAACAAAAGCACUGCCCAUCCAGAUCAAGAAAGGGGGCAUUCGUUGAGCAUCUACUGGGGCCUCAGACUAUCCCUGAUCACACAUGACCUUAUCAGCCACCCCGGUGGAACAGUCCUCAUUUCUCCACCUCCUAAAUAAGAAACUGAAGCUCAGAGGGGUGAAGGGGACUGUUUUGAGUCACUUGGCUGCUGGAAGUUCGAGCUGGGAUCUUCUUCCCCCACCCCAGUUGCCUGUUUGAUGACUGCUUAAACUUUGUGAAAUCAUUUGGCUUGACAGAAUGCUUAAGAGCUUUUCAAAGUGGUAACUGGAACUCACUCUGCCACACGUAUUUGUGUAUUUGUCUGUUUUUCUUCUCUUUUCUUUCUCUUUUUCUGGAAGGAAAAAGCAAUCAUCUAGUGAAAAAUAUUUUCCUUAGAGAUCACUUAAGGUAUUUGGCAAUUUGGAUUGCCAAAUAUCACAAAAGAGACUAAGAAGUAAGACAUGGGACUGAGGGCAAAAAGAAAACAUUCAACAAGUCCGAAAAGGCCAAGGAAAUGCUUCAGGCUCACUUCCCUUGCCACCGCCCCAGACGUCCACACCGCCUUUUGAGUUGGCAAACCCUUGGGAGGCUGAGUCAGGGUGGCCUGGGCCACCUCUUGCCAAUCUUGGGAACCCUCUAGAAUCCUGUUUGAAAGCAAACCAACUGCUCCCACCCCCCAAGUCUUGGUGUGUUCGAAUUUCUUUUCCCAUGCCAAAAUCUGAUUUCCUGUUUCUAAGAAGAAAAGCUUUAAAAUGUCCCUUAAAACAAAAAAAGACUCCUUAAGGGAGCUUAAACAUCAAAGGACUCUUAAAAAGUAGGGUUUUGUUUGGUUAAGUAUACGUAAAUCAGAAAAUUUUCAAUUAAGUUUUCCUUUAAGGUGCUAAGGUUUCUUACUGGAUUUGGGCAAAAGAUUUGUGGACUAACCAUAUAGAUUCUUGGGGGCUAUAAGGAGCGUUAAUCUGGUCCAAUCUGCUUAUUGCAGUGAUAAGUGACUUACCUAAGGUCUCACAGCAAGCAAGUGUAAAAAAUAGACCUAAGCCCAGGCUCUUAAUGCCCAGUUUGGUGUGGUUUCCAUGCAUCUGCCUAUUUCUCCUACAACAGAAAGUUACAAGAUUUUUUUCAAAAUCGAAGGUUGAAGUUCGAAACAGGCAGAAGGAAGCUAUUAAGUGUGUAGGUUUUUUUUUAAGUUAUGAGUUUGAAACAAGUAACUGUGACUACUAACCUUUUCCUGAGCACUUAGCAUGUACAUGUGUUGUUCAUUUAAUUGCCUCAAUUCUAUGAAGUAUUUACUAUGUUUUCUUCAUUUUACAAAGGAAAAGGGAAAGUGAGGGAAGACAAUGAUUCAAAUUCUUAGUUUAAGCUUUUACUCUAUUUUCUGAGUGGCCAGAACAUGCCAGGCUUUUUCUGAUACCUGGUAUCAACUCAUCUUCAAAGCAACCCAGAGACAUUGGUAUUAUUGUCUCCAUUGCACAAAUGAGAAAAUCAGAUCUUAAGAAAAUCAAUCUGCCCAAGUGCUCACCACCAGGAAGUAGCACAGUGAGGAUUAGAACUUAAAUCUGGCCCUCCAUGCUUAUUCUCUUUCUGUUACCCUCUUGACAGAGUCGUUGGGAGGGUCAAAGCAGAUCAUUUAAGUGAAAGCCUUCUGUAAAAACUGUAAAGAAUUUAACAGAUUUGAGGGAUUAUCAUGCUUAAAUCUAAGUUGUUCUUUUUUCCUAAAUUUCCACUCUGGCUUGUAACAACAGGAUCUAAGAGCCAGGCAUGACAAGGGGCCCAGGUCUCUCAGCUGAAAAACAUUUUCCAAAUAAAAGAUUUGAUUGAGCACAUGCUUGUUUUCCUUGGGUGGGUCCCAACCACCCAAAUGUUUAAUUGGGUUGGAAAGUUUUGAUCCUGAUGGCCAUUGUUGGAGGCAAAUGAGAAACGUGGAGCCUUGCUCUCUGACCCUGAAGGAAAGAAGAAAGCCCGAAAAAACAGAGCUAUAAUCCUGCUAGCAGUUAUGCCAUCCAAAUAGCAGCAUUAUUAGACCAAAUGCUGCUUCAUUCAUUGGCUUAUUUGUUUAUUUGGGGCUAUCUUAUGAGCAUCUGCUGCAAGCCACACUCUGCUUUAGGCACAAGGAAUACAGAGAGGAAUGAGCUACAGUUGUUCCCUUGAGGACCUCAUAGUCCUGAGGACUUCUGCAAACAUUCCCCAUGAACAUUUCUCUACCCUUCCUGGUCAUAUUCUGUUCUUCCGUCUUUGCCCCACACAAUUUAUGCCAGUGUUAUGGCUGGAUAGUGUCCCUCCAUAAUUUGUAUGUUGAAGACCUAACCCCCAGGACCUUAGAAUGUGAUUAUAUUGGAGAUACAUUCUUUAAAGAGGUUAAUUAAGGGAGCUGGGCGUGGUGGCUCACGCCCGUAAUCCCAGCACUUUGGGAGGCCGAGGUGGGCAGAUCAUCUGAGGUUGGGAGUUUGAGACCAGUCUGACCAACAUGGAGAAACCAUGUCUCUACUAAAAAUACAAAAUCAGCCUGGCGUGGUGGCGCAUGCCUGUAAUUCCAGCUACUUGGGAGGCUGAGACAGGAGAGUGGCAUGAACCCAGGAGGCAGAGGUUGCAGUGAGCCAAGAUUGCACCAUUGCACUCCAGCCUGGGCAACAAGAGCAAAACUCCGUCUCAAAAAAAAAUUAAUAAAUAAAUAAAAGAGGUAAUUAAGGUAAAAUGAGGUCAUUAGAUGGGCUUUAAUCCAAUCUGGUGAUUUUAUAAGUGGAGAUUAAGACACAGACACACACAGAUGGAAGACUCUCUGAAGACACAGGGAGAAGACAGCCAUCUACAAGCCAAUAAGGGAGGCUUCAGAAGAAAUAACCUUGCCUACACCUUGAUCUUGGACUUCCAGCCCCCAGAAUUAUGAGAAAAGGAAUUUCUGUUGUUUAAAUCACCCAGUUUGUGGUUCUUUGUUACAGCAGCUCUAGAAAACUAUUACAACCAGCCAAAGCAUUGAGUCUGAUCUGCUGAGUAUGAGAGUUAUGUCUGUGUUCAUUGAAUGAAAGGAAGAAUGAAUAAAACUAUCAUGGGCCAAUCCUCAAGGUGUUUGCAGUCUUAAGGGGACCCUAGUGUUUUUUCUUAUUCUGUGCUGUGUGCUGGAGGCACUGAGAUGAAAGCUGUGGACCUUCUUCAUGGAAUGUGUAUGCUAGCAGGGAAACCAAGCUUACAAGUAUUUCAUACAUAAUAAUUUUCGAAGUACUAUGAUAGAGGAAUGCAACACCUGAGAACCUGGAAGAAUCCCCUAAUCUAGUGAGGAGAAGAGAAGGUCAGGGAAGGCCUCUUGGAGAAGAAACCACCCAAGCUGUCAUGAAGUACAAACAGCUGUUACCCAGCAGGUUGUGGAGACAAACCAUUCCAGUCACAUGGAAUCCUAUGCAGCCACAAAAAGGAUGAGUUCAUGUCCUUUGUAGGGACAUGGAUGAAGCUGGAAACCAUCAUUCUCAGCAAACUAUCACAAGAACAGAAAACCAAACACCACAUGUUCUCUUAUAAGUGGGAUCUGAACAAUGAGAACACAUGGACAUAGGGAAGGGAACAUCACACACCAGGGCCUGUUUGGGAGUGGAGAGGCUAGGGGAGGGUUAACAUUAGGAGAAAUACCUAAUGUAGGUGACAGGUUGAUGGGUGCAGCAAACCACCAUGGCACGUGCAUACCUAUGUAACAAAACUGCACGUUCUACACAUGUACCCUAGAACUUAUAAUAAAAAAAGAGAGAGAAAAAAAAAGAAACUAUGGAUGACAUUAGGUGAGGACUUACUAUGCUACUUGACACAUAGUGGGUCUGUGAUUAGUCAAUAUACCUGAUAUAGUUUGGCUGUGUUCUCACCCAAAUCUCAUCUUGAACUGUAGCUCCCAUAAUCCCCACAUGUUGUGAGAGAGGCCCAGUGGGAGGUAAUUGAAACACGGGGACAGGUUUUGCCCUUGCUGUUCUUGUGAUAAUGAUUAAGUCUCAAGAGAUCUGAUGAUUUUAUAAAGGGCAGUUCCACUAUGCAUGUUCUCUUGCCUGCCACCAUGUAAGACGUACAUUUGCUCCUCCUUCACCUUCCACCAUGAUUGUCAGGCCUCCCCAGCCAUGUGGAACUCUGAGUCG
rnacentral:lncRNA from 10 species